GGACUCAGUAGUCUAGUGG
rnacentral:miRNA from 1 species